AGGAGCCGUAUGAGGUGAAAGUCUCACGUACGGUUUUGUAGGCGAGGCGGAAUGGCGACAUUCCGACCUUAGC
rnacentral:ncRNA from 1 species